rnacentral:rRNA from 1 species
CCUACGGGUGGCAGCAGUGAGGAAUAUUGGUCAAUGGACGCAAGUCUGAACCAGCCAUGCCGCGUGCAGGAAGACGGCUCUAUGAGUUGUAAACUGCUUUUGUACGAGGGUAAACGCAGAUACGCGUAUCUGUCUGAAAGUAUCGUACGAAUAAGGAUCGGCUAACUCCGUGCCAGCAGCCGCGGGAAUACGGAGGAUUCAAGCGUUAUCCGGAUUUAUUGGGUUGAAAGGGUGCGUAGGCGGUCGGAUAAGUUAGAGGUGAAAUCCCGAGGCUCAACUUCGGAAUUGCAUCUGAUACUGUGCGGCUAGAGAGUAGUUGCGGUAGGCGGAAUGUAUGGUGUAGCGGUGAAAUGCUUAGAGAUCAUACAGAACACCGAUUGCGAAGGCAGCUUACCAGGCUACUUCUGACGUUGAGGCACGAAAGCGUGGGGAGCAAACAGGAUUAGAUACCCGAGUAGUC